AUAGUUAAGACUGGCAAGUCUUCUGACUAUCCAAUGGUUGAGAGGCUGUUACGAUUGGUGAUAACUCUUCCGGUUUCAACUGCAACAGCAGAGCGAGCCUUUUCUGCAAUGAAACUAGUCAAGACGCGGCUUCGAAGCAAAAUGGGAGAUGAUUUUCUUUGUCAUUGCACGCUAGUUUACAUUGAGAAGGAACUUGCAGCCAAGUUUAGCUCUGAAGAAAUAAUUGAUAUCUUCGAUACUGGUGCUCGUAAAGCAGAAUUCAAAUUGAUAGAAAUGUAA
rnacentral:rRNA from 1 species